rnacentral:rRNA from 1 species
AGCAGCCGCGGUAAUUCCAGCUCCAAUAGCGUAUAUUAAAGUUGUUGCAGUUAAAAAGCUCGUAGUUGAAUUUCGGGAUCAGUACGUCGGUCGUGCCUUCGGUAUGCACUGGUGUCACUGGUUCCUCCCUUCUGACGAACCGUCAUGCCAUUAAUUUGGUGUGGCGGGAAAUCAGGACUGUUACUUUGAAGAAAUUAGAGUGUUUAAAGCAGGCUCACGCUUGAAUACAUUAGCAUGGAAUAAUGAAAUAGGACGUUGAUCUUAUUUGUUGGUUUCUAGGAUUGACGUAAUGAUUAAUAGGGAUAGUUGGGGGCAUUAGUAUUCAAUUGUCAGAGGUGAAAUUCUUGGAUUUAUUGAAGACUAACUACUGCGAAAGCAUUUGCCAAGGAUGUUUUCAUUAAUCAAGAACGAAAGUUAGGAGAUCGAAGACGAUACAGAUACCGUCGUAGUCUUAACCAUAAACUAUGCGACUAGGGAUCGGAUGAUGUUAAUUUUUUAAUGUACU